rfam:Dipodomys ordii contig_51411, whole genome shotgun sequence.
GGUGGCUCAGUGGUAGAGCGCUUGUCUUGCAUGCAUAAGGCCCUGGGUUCGAUUCCUCAGCACCA